GAUGAACGCUAGCGGCAGGCUUAAUACAUGCAAGUCGAACGGUAACAGGUCCAGCAAUGGAUGCUGACGAGUGGCGCACGGGUGAGUAACGCGUAUGCAACCUACCCUCAACUGGGGAAUAGCCCUGAGAAAUCGGGAUUAAUACCCCAUAAUAUCCAGUUUCCGCAUGGUUACUGGAUUAAAGUUCCGGCGGUUGAGGAUGGGCACGCGUAACAUUAGCUAGUUGGUGAGGUAACGGCUCACCAAGGCGACGAUGUUUAGGGGUCCUGAGAGGGUGAUCCCCCACACUGGUACUGAGACACGGACCAGACUCCUACGGGAGGCAGCAGUAGGGAAUAUUGGGCAAUGGACGCAAGUCUGACCCAGCCAUGCCGCGUGUAGGAAUGACGGCCCUAUGGGUUGUAAACUGCUUUUCUGCAAGAAGAAACCCCCGUACGUGUACGGGGCUGACGGUAUUGCAGGAAUAAGCAUCGGCUAACUCCGUGCCAGCCGCCGCAGUAACAC
rnacentral:rRNA from 1 species